CAGCCCCAGCAGCAGCGGCAACACCGUCGAGUCCUCCACCCCUUCCGCGCCCCCUCCACUGGAACUCGAGCUCGGCCAUGCGGCCGCUCGUUUCCCCUUCCUUCACGCGCGUCCGUUCUUGUUCCUAGGCGCUGCUUCGAGAUCGGAUGCGGCGGCGGCCUCGGCGGCGUUAACUGGGUUCAAGGGAAUCGGGACGAGGGUCUCACCGACGGUGAUGGCGGCGCAAGCGAGGCGUCUUCCCUUCGAUUUGGAUCUCAACCUGCCGCCGCCGCCGGAGGUGGCUUGAUCCCAACGCCUACAGAUCUUGACAGAACCCACGAACAAAAUUAUCUAAUAGUAUAUACAUAUCUUUAUGUUUUUUUGGAGCUGGGGAGAGAGAGGGAGAUCCAACUCGGUGUACUUUCCUGUACAGGAAAGAGUUCAUGCC
rnacentral:lncRNA from 1 species